rnacentral:lncRNA from 7 species
AGUUAUUCCCUACUGGUUCCACAAAGAAUAAAUACUGCAGGAGUGUGAAGGAAGCAAAUCUAUCUGUCUUUCAGCAGGAGGUGCAAUCUGUGUAGCACAGGACUUCGUUUUGUUAUUGAUGAGUGAAGUGAUCAGAAAGGCAAAAGAUUGCAAGAUCACAGCGCUAGCAUCCAUCUAGCUGACUUCCAGGGAUAGUUUUUCUACCAGGCGAUGAGAAAUAUAGAGCCACCUUGUGAAGACCUCUGCUGGGGAAUGCAUUAUUUUAUUGCCUUUAAAGCACAACGGGAUGAUAAGAGUCUAUGGUUAGCCAUGUCUAGUCUGUAAUCAGGCUCAGUAGGGCAGAUUAGGUGCCCCACAUAACGGGGAACGUGGCUGUAGAAGAUUGGCAGAAGACAAUAACAAAAAUACUGAAGCAGCUGGAUUUAAAUAAUCAGUACUCCAAGUGGACAGAGAAAUUGGUUUUGUUUCUGAAGACUUAACUUGAAAUUUAGCCUAAGAUAAAACUGCUGUAUUCUAGAUGUGAAGUGAUUCCUUUCAGAUUUAAGGAAAUGGCUUAUUGGCCUACAUUUAUCUGCUUGAUUAUGCCUUUAUUUGCUUAGUGGCAGUGAUCAGCUAUGCUAUUACUAAAAUUAAUCCUAUGAGGAAUGGUCUUUCAAGUAUAGAGAACCAUAACCUUCAGGGAUUAUGAUUCAGCUGUGUUUAAAAGAACAAUUCAGGUAUUAAAACCCAGUUUUUAUUACUGAGCAUCCUGAGAUCCUUGUACUUUUGCUCAGUACAGAGAAAUAUGAAACAGCAGUAGAAAGCAAAUCAGUUGCUCUGCUGUGGAGUGUCUAACUGAUGCAGAACUCAACACUGGUAUUUACUUCUCAUAAAAUAUUGAUGUUAAGACUUUAUAGUCAUACAUGAAUGUUCUGGUUUAACCUGGUUCUUUAGGGCUCAUAAGUGAUCUGCUGCGAAGGAAAUAUGAAGAUGUUUAUAUCUUACCGAUUCCUCAAAAUUUAGGAAAUGUGAAUUUGUACUUGAGAUAUUUGUAAAUAAUCACUUACCUACUUUUUUUUAGGAGUUUAUGUCCUUAUGGGGCACUGAGCUGGUUUUUCUUUUACUUCUUUUAUUCUGGGCCUAGUUUGUCUUUUCCUUUUCUACUUCAAUAGCUGAACUUUGUUGUGAAUAUACCAUUCUUUCUGUAGGCUGUGGUAGAAAAUGAUGUAAUACAAAUAACAUAUGUGUAUAUAAUCAAACAAACAAAAUCCUGAUAAAGCCAUUAGGGAAUAAGGUUUUGUGACUAAUCCUUAUUAGCUUGUUGAAGUAUGUCUACACUCCAGUCUUAUUUCUUGGGCACAAGGGCCAUUUGCAGUUGAAUAAUUCUGUUAUC